UGGGGUAUCGUCUAAUGGCAGGACAUCUGGUUUUGGUCCAGUUAAUCGAGGUUCGAGUCCUUGUACCCCAGCCA
rnacentral:tRNA from 1 species